rnacentral:lncRNA from 1 species
GAGCAAGGAGCCUUUGAUUCUGGAGGAGCGGAUGGUAGAGAGAAGUGGAACAGACCACCCAGCCCCUUAACUGUCUGGAGGAAUCUGCAUCCUGAGGUCCCCAGGCCAGUGCUCUUUCUACAAUACACACCAUCCGGAAAAGGGUGUUCCUCUCCGGGCCCCUGCCCCGCACCCUCACUGCAUCCUCCUGGACUGAGAAAAACUCUGGAGGUAGAAGUUGGCAGUUUAGCUCGCCUUGGAAGGACCCAGAAAACUGAAGUGUCACUGGAGUUCUCAUUGGCUGAGCAUCCAGGACCAGGUGGGAGAAAGCGUCGACUCUGGGGGAGGUAAGAAGAGAUGAGGCAUCACUUCCAUUUGCAUUGAGAACACAUGCAAGGUUGGCUUGAGCACCACCCCUGAGUAGAAGCUGGUGUCUACUGUCUUAGGCCACAACGGCUCAUUCCAGACCCCCAGUUUCAACCAUUUACCAGACUUCCCCAUCCCAAACAGUGAAGUGAGAUCAACUUCUGAUAUUGCCCUCUGGGAAACACACAUGUGUUUCAACAGCCUUUCUGUAGAACUUCUUUGGUGGCCGCAAAGCUUUUGCAUGCACAUUGGAGGGAGCAUGGAGUGGCUUUAGUUUCUUGUUGGUUCCAGCUGAGAAAGAACCCCUGAGCUGGAAACUGGGGUCAGUGGAGUUCAAAAGCAAACUCCUGGUAUCCUCGCACUUUUCGGAUUCCUGGCCACUCACCCAAAUGAACCUCACUCAGAGAAUUUGAAAAUGCCCUGAGGAAAUAGUUAUCCGUGAAAUCAUUUUGUGUGGAGGAUCAGGAAGAGUGAAUGUCUUGGCACCAUGUCACAAGUUUCCCUUUUGUGCAUGUGUGACAAACGCGGAGCACUUUUAUCCAUGCUAGGCUCCAUAACAAGCUUGUGACAUGCAUUGUAUCUUUCAGUCUCAACUUGUCUCUCUGAAGGCGGUUCUGUUAUUUCCCCAUCAUAGAGAAGUUUAACUCUGGAAGGUCUUUUUGCUCCUAUGUGGAAGAGUUGGAUCUUAAAACUCAAGUUUAUUUUCUUCUAAGCCUGAGCUCUUCCUACUACCACC